ncrna:Salinicoccus luteus DSM 17002 L31-Firmicutes ribosomal protein leader
CUCUGUGCCAGAUGGUUCAGGGCAAAGGAG